rnacentral:rRNA from 1 species
UACGUAGGGUGCGAGCGUUAAUCGGAAUUACUGGGCGUAAAGCGUGCGUAGGCGGUUCCUCAAGUCCGUUGUGAAAGCCCCGGGCUCAACCUGGGAAUGGCAGUGGAAACUAGGGGACUUAGAAUCUGGCAGAGGGGGGUGGAACUCCACGUGUAGCAGUGAAAUGCGUAGAGAUGUGGAAGAACACCGAUGGCGAAGGCAGCCCCCUGGGCUGAGAUUGACGCUGAGGGCACGAAAGCGUGGGGAGCAAACAGG